GACGAACGCUGGCGGCGUGCUUAACACAUGCAAGUCGAACGGAAAGGCCCUGCUUUUGUGGGGUGCUCGAGUGGCGAACGGGUGAGUAACACGUGAGUAACCUGCCCUUGACUUUGGGAUAACUUCAGGAAACUGGGGCUAAUACCGGAUAGGAGCUCCUGCUGCAUGGUGGGGGUUGGAAAGUUUCGGCGGUUGGGGAUGGACUCGCGGCUUAUCAGCUUGUUGGUGGGGUAGUGGCUUACCAAGGCUUUGACGGGUAGCCGGCCUGAGAGGGUGACCGGCCACAUUGGGACUGAGAUACGGACCAGACUCCUACGGGAGGCAGCAGUGGGGAAUAUUGCACAAUGGGCGGAAGCCUGAUGCAGCGACGCCGCGUGCGGGAUGACGGCCUUCGGGUUGUAAACCGCUUUAGCCUGUGACGAAGCGUGAGUGACGGUAAUGGGUAAAGAAGCACCGGCUAACUACGUG
rnacentral:rRNA from 1 species